UAGCGGAUGACUUGUGGCUGGGGGUGAAAGGCCAAUCAAACCGGGAGAUAGCUGGUUCUCCCCGAAAGCUAUUUAGGUAGCGCCUCGUGAAUUCAUCUCCGGGGGUAGAGCACUGUUUCGGCAAGGGGGUCAUCCCGACUUACCAACCCGAUGCAAACUGCGAAUACCGGAGAAUGUUAUCACGGGAGACACACGGCGGGUGCUAACGUCCGUCGUGAAGAGGGAAACAACCCAGACCGCCAGCUAAGGUCCCAAAGUCAUGGUUAAGUGGGAAACGAUGUGGGAAGGCCCAGACAGCCAGGAUGUUGGCUUAGAAGCAGCCAUCAUUUAAAGAAAGCGUAAUAGCUCACUGGUCGAGUCGGCCUGCGCGGAAGAUGUAACGGGGCUAAACCAUGCACCGAAGCUGCGGCAGCGACGCUUAUGCGUUGUUGGGUAGGGGAGCGUUCUGUAAGCCUGCGAAGGUGUGCUGUGAGGCAUGCUGGAGGUAUCAGAAGUGCGAAUGCUGACAUAAGUAACGAUAAAGCGGGUGAAAAGCCCGCUCGCCGGAAGACCAAGGGUUCCUGUCCAACGUUAAUCGGGGCAGGGUGAGUCGACCCCUAAGGCGAGGCCGAAAGGCGUAGUCGAUGGGAAACAGGUUAAUAUUCCUGUACUUGGUGUUACUGCGAAGGGGGGACGGAGAAGGCUAUGUUGGCCGGGCGACGGUUGUCCCGGUUUAAGCGUGUAGGCUGGUUUUCCAGGCAAAUCCGGAAAAUCAAGGCUGAGGCGUGAUGACGAGGCACUACGGUGCUGAAGCAACAAAUGCCCUGCUUCCAGGAAAAGCCUCUAAGCAUCAGGUAACAUCAAAUCGUACCCCAAACCGACACAGGUGGUCAGGUAGAGAAUACCAAGGCGCUUGAGAGAACUCGGGUGAAGGAACUAGGCAAAAUGGUGCCGUAACUUCGGGAGAA
rnacentral:rRNA from 1 species